GAGCACGUAGGUGGGUUUGUAAGUCAGAUGUGAAAGCCUUCUGUUCAACGGAAGAAUUGCAUCUGAAACUGCGAGUCUUGAGUGUAGGAGGGGAGAAUGGAACUUCUGGUGGAGCGGUGAAAUGCGUAGAUAUCAGAAGGAACUCCGGCGGCGAAAGCGACUCUCUGGCCUAUUACUGACACUCAGUGUGCGAAAGCUAGGGGAGCAAACGGGAUUAGAUACCCCGGUGGUCCUAGCCGUAAACGAUGGGCACUAAGUAGAGGGGUUUU
rnacentral:rRNA from 1 species